rnacentral:sRNA from 1 species
AAUAGCAAAGGGGAAUACAUCUAGAGUUACUGGAUCUAUCACAGCUCAAGGAAGACAAUCAGAAGAUGAACAAUCAUUAUUCUCUUUUGUGAAUUGUAAGAUCGAUGGAAGUGGGGAAAUAUUGCUUGGAAGAGCUUGGGGAGCUGAUAGUAGGAUUUUACUCAAUUAAUCCCUAAAACACUAUCUUGUCGUUGUAGUAUUUUAGGAUGUCAAUCCAAUUCGGUGUGAUGCAAACAGAUGAGAUAUGAUCAGAAAGCUCUAAGUCAAGCCAAGCAGAAAGUUGGUUGGUUCUAAAGUCCUAGUAUGCAAUAGCAGAAAUGAAAUGAAACUAAAAGCAGAAAUGGCAAUAGCAGGCAAGUGAAUGACAAAGCAGAAAUGAUAACAGGCAAUCAAAUGGAUAAACGAUUCCUAAGGAUGGGGUAAUCGAUUAGUGUGGUCUCCUUAAUCUAUUCAGGCG